UACAGAGACCUCAAGCGUUAUCCGGAAUCAUUGGGCGUAAAGCGUACCGAUAGGUGGCUUUGCAAGUCAGAAGUGAAAUCUCAAGGCUCAACUUUGAGACUGUCUUUUGAAACUGCAAAGCUUGAGGGGCAAAGAGGAAGCCGGAACGAACGGUGUAGUAGUGAAAUGCGUUGAUAUCGUUCGGAACACCAAUAGCGUAGGCAGGCUUCUGGGUGCCACCUGACACUGCUAGGACGAAAGCGUGGGGAGCGAAUGGG
rnacentral:rRNA from 1 species